rnacentral:rRNA from 1 species
CAGUAGUCAUAUGCUUGUCUCAAAGAUUAAGCCAUGCAUGUAUCAGUACUUGUUGACCUAAGACGAAACCGCGAACGGCUCAUUAAAUCAGUCAUAUUCCAUUGGAUGUUGAGACAUCCUUACUCGGAUAACUGUGGUAAUUCUAGAGCUAAUACGUGCAACCUAAGCUCCGACCUCGGUCUCCUCGAAGGAGGGCUCGAGGGAAGGGCGCAUUUAUUAGACCAAAAACCGGGUGGAACGAUUCGGUCGGGUGGUCGCUCGUUCUUCCACCGUCCGAUCCUCCUCUCGCGUUAUGUGGUGACUCUGGAUAACUACAGCCGAGCGCUGAGGUCUCUGUACCGGCGCCGUAUCCUUCGAGUGUCUGCCUUAUCAGCUCUCGAUUGUAGGUUAUUCGCCUACAAUGGCUGUAACGGGUAACGGGGAAUCAGGGUUCGAUUCCGGAGAGGGAGCCUGAGAAACGGCUACCACAUCUAAGGAAGGCAGCAGGCACGCAAAUUACCCAAUCCCAGCUCGGGGAGGUAGUGACGAAAAAUAACGAUGUGGGACUCUUCCGAGGCCUCACAAUCGGAAUGAGUUCGAUUUAAAUACGUGGACGAGGAUCCAUUGGAGGGCAAGUCUGGUGCCAGCAGCUGCGGUAAUUCCAGCUCCAAUAGCGUAUAUUAAAGUUGCUGCGGU